rnacentral:rRNA from 1 species
GACGAACGCUGGCGGCGUGCCUAAUACAUGCAAGUAGGACGCAGUUGCGAACGGGUGAGUAACGCGUAGGUAACUACCUACUAGAGGGGGGUAACUAUUUGAAACGAUAGCUAAUACCGCAUACUAGUAGAUGGACCUGCGUUGGAUUAGCUAGUAGGUAGGGUAAGGGCCUACCUAGGCAACGAUACAUAGCCGACCUGAGGGGGGUGUUGGCCAACCUGGGACUGGAGCACGGCCCAGAACCCGACGGGAGGCAGCAGGAGGGAAUUUUCGGGAAUGGGGGGAACGCUGAACGGGCAACGCCGGGGGAGUGAAGAAGGGUUUUGGGUCGUAAAGAUCUGUUGUUAAGGAAGCGGUACCUAACCAGAAAGGGACGGCUAACUACGUGCCAGCAGCCGCGGUAAUAC